rnacentral:rRNA from 1 species
UACCGCGUGGGUGAAGAAGGCCUUCGGGUUGUAAAGCCCUUUUGUUGGGAAAGAAAAGCAAUCGAUUAAUACUCGGUUGUUCUGACGGUACCCAAAGAAUAAGCACCGGCUAACUUCGUGCCAGCAGCCGCGGUAAUACGAAGGGUGCAAGCGUUACUCGGAAUUACUGGGCGUAAAGCGUGCGUAGGUGGUUGUUUAAGUCUGUUGUGAAAGCCCUGGGCUCAACCUGGGAAUUGCAGUGGAUACUGGGCAACUAGAGUGUGGUAGAGGGUAGUGGAAUUCCCGGUGUAGCAGUGAAAUGCGUAGAGAUCGGGAGGAACAUCCAUGGCGAAGGCAGCUACCUGGACCAACACUGACACUGAGGCACGAAAGCGUGGGGAGCAAACAGGAUUAGAUACCCUGGUAGUCCACGCCCUAAACGAUGCGAACUGGAUGUUGGGUGCAAUUUGGCACGCAGUAUCAAAGCUAACGCGUUAAGUUCGCCGCCUGGGGAGUACGGUCGCAAGACUGAAACUCAAAGGAAUUGACGGGGGCCCGCACAAGCGGUGGAGUAUGUGGUUUAAUUCGAUGCAACGCGAAGAACCUUACCUGGUCUUGACAUGUCGAGAACUUUCCAGA